rnacentral:rRNA from 1 species
UACGUAGGGCGCAAGCGUUAUCCGGAAUUAUUGGGCGUAAAGAGCUCGUAGGCGGUUUGUCGCGUCUGCCGUGAAAGUCCGGGGCUCAACUCCGGAUCUGCGGUGGGUACGGGCAGACUAGAGUGAUGUAGGGGAGACUGGAAUUCCUGGUGUAGCGGUGAAAUGCGCAGAUAUCAGGAGGAACACCGGUGGCGAAGGCGGGUAUCUGGGCCGAUACUGACGCUGAGGAGCGAAAGCGUGGGGAGCGAACAGG